CCUACGGGAGGCAGCAGUUAGGAAUCUUCCACAAUGGGCGAAAGCCUGAUGGAGCGACGCCGCGUGAGGGAUGAAGGUUUUCGGAUCGUAAACCUCUGAAUCUGGGACGAAAGACGCGCAAGCGGGAUGACGGUACCAGAGUAAUAGCACCGGCUAACUCCGUGCCAGCAGCCGCGGUAAUACGGAGGGUGCAAGCGUUACCCGGAAUCACUGGGCGUAAAGGGCGUGUAGGCGGUCACGUAAGUCUGGUUUUAAAGAUCGGGGCUCAACCCCGGGGAUGGACUGGAUACUGCGUGACUGGACCUCUGGAGAGAGACUCGGAAUUUCUGGUGUAGCGGUGGAAUGCGUAGAUACCAGAAGGAACACCGAUGGCGAAGGCAGAGUCUUGGACAGAAGGUGACGCUGAGGCGCGAAAGUGUGGGGAAGCGAACCGGAUUAGAUACCCGGGUAGUCCACACCCUAAACGAUGUACGUUGGAUGACAGCAGGAUGCUGUUGUGUCGAAGUUAACGCGAUAAACGUACCGCCUGGGAAUACGGCCGCAAAGGUUUGAAAACUCAAAAGAGUAUCGCGNGNGAGAGCGACGACGACGACGAGAGGAGAG
rnacentral:rRNA from 1 species